AAUUUUAGGCCUGGUUGGACGGUCGACCUUUGGUUUGUACUGUCCUGACUGGGUCUUACCUUCUGGUGAGCUGUCGUGUUGUUUACUCAGUGCGGCAGGGAACCAGGACUUUUACUUUGAAAAAAAUUAGAGUGUUUAAAGCAGGCAUUCGCUUGAGUACAUUAGCAUGGAAUAAUAGAAUAGGACUUUGGUUCUAUUUUGUUGGUUUCUAGGACCGAAGUAAUGAUUAAUAGGGAUAGUUGGGGGCAUUAGUAUUUAAUUGUCAGAGGUGAAAUUCUUGGAUUUAUGAAAGACUAACUUCUGCGAAAGCAUUUGCCAAGGAUGUUUUCAUUAAUCAAGAACGAAAGUUAGGGGAUCGAAGACGAUCAGAUACCGUCGUAGUCUUAACCAUAAACUAUGCCGACUAGGGAUCAGACAAGGAUUUUUUGACUUGUUUGGCACCUUAUGAGAAAUCAAAGUUUUUGGGUUCCGGGGGGAGUAUGGUCGCAWGGCUGAAACUUAAAGG
rnacentral:rRNA from 1 species